CGGAGAGGUCGAGAACCCAAUUUUGGUCGUAAUAGUUUGGAUUGUAUGAAUCCAUUUUUGUUGAGAGAAUUUGAGAGAGAAUGAGGAAGAAGAUACAAGAAGAUGAUUUUGGUGUUUGAGGAAGAAGGAGGAAUGAGUAUAUAAAGAAGAGAGAGAAAAAAAGGAACAUGGAAGACAACGGUCGAAUGACCGAUUUUUUUAUUUUUUUUAAGUUGGCAACGACUAUUUUUUUUUGAAUGAAAUUUAUUAUUAUUAUUUUUAAUUAGGCACGUGUCACACACGCGCCAUACAUUUCACCCAUCAUGCCUCACCCGAUAAAUCGGGUCUCCCUCGAGUCUCCCCUUGCUGCAGUAGGGGACUUGAUUAGUGGGUGAUUCGAGUGGGGCCGAUCGAGUCACCCACUGUGGGUGCUCUUAGACCAAUUCGAUCUUUUCUGUGCACCACCCUAUAUAUAUACAAUGCACAACACUUUAAAAGACCAGACAACUUUAGCUCAAACCGAUUCAAC
rnacentral:lncRNA from 1 species